rnacentral:rRNA from 1 species
CCGGGUGAUCAUAGUGAAGGGGCCAUACCCGUUCCCAUUCCGAACACGGUAGUCAAGACCUUCACGCCGAUGGUAGUGGGUACAACCGCGAGAGUAGGUCGUUGCCCGGA